UACGGAGGGGGUUAGCGUUGUUCGGAAUUACUGGGCGUAAAGCGCGCGUAGGCGGACCAGAAAGUUGGGGGUGAAAUCCCGGGGCUCAACCCCGGAGCGGCCUCCAAAACUCCUGGUCUUGAGUUCGAGAGAGGUGAGUGGAAUUCCGAGUGUAGAGGUGAAAUUCGUAGAUAUUCGGAGGAACACCAGUGGCGAAGGCGGCUCACUGGCUCGAUACUGACGCUGAGGUGCGAAAGUGUGGGGAGCAAACAGC
rnacentral:rRNA from 1 species